AAGGAAUGCAGAGCCUAUGGAUUCACUCUUUUUUCUUGAUGCUCUUUUAAAACUCCAAGAAAUGAAUGUUGUAGACCAUUCUUAACCCACCAGGGCAAAGAGGGUUGGAGAGGAAACAGCAGUGGAGGAGAGUUUUUAAACCAGCUUUUAGAAGAAGAAAAGCAGAAGUGGGAUUGACUUGGUGAAGCAGAGGAAGUUAAACUGAGCUUAGAGAACCACCGGGCAGGAAGGACAGUUUGCCCUGAAAGUGUGAGAGGGAGCCGCCGAGCCUCCUGGGCUGGGGUCUGCCCAGCCCACCAACACGCCCCGGCUCACACAACCCAGGAAAACACAGAAGCAAAGGUGGGAGCACGUUGCCCUGCGCAGACAGAGUGCUGUCCAUGUCUGGGAAAGGAAGUGCAGUCAAGCACCAGCCACCGAGCUGGAGAGUCUCCGAGAGCUGAGGUCGCGGAGCGGAAGGAAAGAGGAGCCAAGGUGCAGACCAUCAGGCUCCAAUUCUGGAGCAUCGACCUCCUGAGACCUCCUCUCACGUGACCCCACAGCCAGGUGUACACGGCCAGACGCUGAGCCUGUCGGGAAGCAGAAACGGACAGGGCCUCGGGGGAGGACUGGCUGGGAGCAGGGGCCGCACAGACUGUACGCAGCCAGCUGCACUGGCCAGCUGGGCUCCUCCCGUUUGCUGUAAGUACCCACGGUCAGUCCUGUGUCUCCAGGACCAGAAACUGCAGAAACAGAAGAGCCAAAGAUCAGACGUUCUGAGAUGGUCAAGAAAGUUCUAGGCAAACAAAGCUACAGUGCAGGCCACAGGGUAAGAAGCCAGGCCAGAGAGGGCAGAGCCGGAUCCAGAAAGUGAGGCUGUUAGGGAAAAAGUGACUGUUGACAUGGGACGGGCCAGACAAUUCCACAGACAGCGCAUUUGAUGUGGUGACACAGCACCCAGGAAGCAGUGACUGGAGUCACGACUUUCACCUUCAGAGGGAGAGACAUUCACUGCUAGGAAGAGGUCUGACCAGAGGAAGUUCUGCGCUCAACAGUGAGUGAUGUUGGAGCGAGGGUCCUCCCCAGAGGCAGGAAGCCUGGUGCUCCGUCCUGCUGGGAAAGGUGGGGACCUGCAUCUGCAAAGCCUCCAGCUUUCAAUACGUCCACCAAGAGGAAGCUUUAGGAUUUACCCCAAGGAACCAAAUGUACACGGGCCCAAAGAUGUAAUGUGCGCACGUUUGUUGGCGUAUCAGAAUAGUAAGAGUAAUAGUAAGGGAAUGCAACCUGAGACUGCUAGACGACUGAAUACCAUACAAUAUUUACUCAAGAAAAUAUUCACAAUGCUCCUACUUCUAAAAACUGCUUAAAAAUGGGACUACUGUAUUAUUUUUAAUGACAACAGAAAGAGAGACAGAGACCCGAAAAAUUCUCUCAGUAAUAUUGGAAGGUAGGAUUAAACUGGAGUUGUAUCUUCUUUUUUCUUGUCUACUUUGCAAACCCCAAAGCCUUCUGUAUAUAUGCACUAGCUCUUAAAGCUGCCACAAACAGAAGGAACAGACCCUUCUAAAUCCAUAAUUAGAAAAUAAAAACUGAGAGGGAGCCGCUGAGCCUCCUGGGCUGGGGUCUGCCCAGCCCACCAACAUGCCCAUAAUUAGAAAAUAAAAACUACGUUCAAGAGAGAAAGGCAAGAGGAUAGGAAGACGGCAAGGUCCCGGGGUAAUCUGGGAUGGUGGGAGCAGCGCUCUGCAUAACCUAGGGCCCAGCACAGGUGAGUGGCCACUCACCUGUCCUCCCAGCCAGUAUCUUGACCAACUUGCCACUCCCUGUGGUUCCUACCAGAGCAGCCGCCUGACCCACAGGUCAGACAUGGAAGCAAGCGUGAGCCACCUUCUGAGGUUUGUUUUCUUAGCUUGCAACCUCCUGUAGAUCUAGACCUAAGUGUGCAAGGGCUUUCCCAGCUCUGUGGAACCGGGCACCACUGGGAGGGUCACACUCAGGGUCACCACAGGGGGGACCGAGGGUGGACACCCAUCCGUGUUUUGUUGCUGAUGUGCAUAUUUAACGUCCUGUCUGUGAUCAGGGCUCAGCCAACUGCUGGGCCACAAAAUAAUGACAUCGUGACACAGCACAGAGAAAAGGACAUGAAGGAAGGAAACCACCAAGUGGUCUGAACCUUAAAAUGAAUUUUAUUUUGUGUUUUAAUCUGCUAGCAUUCUCUGUGACAAUUUAAAAUACCAAUCUGGUGAUGAAAGGGAAGAAAGGAAACUUCAUGUAAGAACAAGGCACAUGACCGGGUCUGGAGGAGGGAGAGUCUCCAGCAGAAAUAUUUCCCAGAUGUGACGUGGAAAGAGCUGCCAUCAUGCAGCUGGCUUGGAAAAUGGGGCGAUGCAGGUUUAAGAAAUUACAGUCCUUUCUAACAAAGCAGAAUAUUCAGAAUAUGGGGCAAUCAGUAGAGUCUUAUGUUCAUGUAGAAAAAACUAAAAAGUGAUGCGAAUUCCUACAAGUGAGGAAUGAAAAUGUAUUUCAAACAGACUCCCAACAUGCCCACCUCCUCCCUGAGAGCCCACAUCUGAGCAGACACACAUGCUGAAGGCACACGCGAGUUAGACCGCACAUCCAGGGGAAGCCAGCAGACACGAAGAGCCCAGGUCACCGAGAUUACAUUCGAAAUUUCGAUUUAUGUGAAGGAGUAAAAGAGAAAAGAUCCCCACCAAAAGCAGAUUGGAUUUCCCAAACUCCCAUGUCCCCGCUCUUUGCUCUGUUGGUGUAUUCGGGUGACUUCCUGUCAGAGAGGCUGAGGGAGCUCUGAGCUUGGUGUUUCCACGGUGCCCUGGAGGUGGGAAUUUCGCCCUGGAAUUCUGCAAAGGCAGCCUCUUCCACCUGGUAGUCGGCUCUGCACCUUCUCGAGCCACAGAAGCUGAGCCUGGCCCCAAGGCAGCAUGUGGGUGACGGCCAAGCUCACCCAGGCUGGGGAGAGCAUCAGCACUCCCCGGGGCCUUCUGCAGAAGGGAAGCCUCAUGCCAGCUACACCCACAGCGACCCCAGCUGCAUGCCCCCCAGGAAGCCCACAGUCCAGCCUGCAGGUGCAGCAAGUGACCACAGGGACAGCAGUGGUCUCUCCAGGGUAGCCAGUUUCUGCAUGAAAGCGGAUGCCCCCAGGACUGUAGAGCAACAGGACCACCAAGGGUGCAGGACCCCACAGGCGGUGCCUGCCUGCACUGGAAGGCAGGGAUGCGUCACGCCACCUGGCGGAGAGGGCCUUGCCAUGAGGGUCUGCCUGCAACUUCUGGGAGCCGAGCUCCUGCGUGAACUAAUAAAGUAGACGAGCGAGCACCCUGCAUUAACACGGGGGCUUCAGAGGACACCCACAUCUGAGCCGUGGCACCCUCCACCACGGCCCAGUAACUCUCCUCUAAUGUAGUUCGACGUUUUGACCUGCUAAACAGACCCUAAAUGGAGCAACCCAGCCAGACACAGAAGAUGGUGCACGUUCAUGCACAGGUGAGAAGCGCAGGGGAAGGGGAGCGGCUGCCUGGCCUCCCGACCUUCGCUGCUCCAGGUGGAUGCUCUCCUGAAGGACUGCCGUUCAGGUGGUCAGCUCCUCUGCCUAGUCAGGGCCAACUGCCUGCCUGCCGUGCUCUCUGUUAGUCUUUAGGUCACCAGCAACUGGCCUGCUUUGUCCUCAUGUCCACGACCUCCCUCCCCUGCCUUGCAGGGCCUCUGGGAAGCCAUCUUUUGCCCAGAUAUGCUCAUGUGUGCAGUUCCCGAGCUCGGGACCACUGUGUGUAUCCCCGUUUGUCGGAGGCAUGACCACAGUGCCCUGCUCUAUGCCAACAACCUGCCAUCCACCGAAUGCUGAGAUCCUUCUUCUAAAGUGACUUCCAGAAUCCAUGCACAUGUCUGAAAAUGUCUAACUGAUCUGAUUAGAGUUUGGUGAACCCAGGAAGAAAGUCAAGCUCUGCGGCAUCAGUUGGUGUAAGAAAGAUCGGGGUGAAAUGGUGGGGCUGGCCUCUUGUCUUUAUAAAGAAUAUGCUUAAUAACGUCACAACCCGGACGUGCCAGCACAGCGGCGUAUACCACGGGCACUUUGAACUGAUGUUUUCAGGGUCUCCAGGGCUGACUCGCAGACUUUGUCUCUGACUGGAAACACUUGCCCCUGUCCUUCAAUCUGGUGGUAGAAAUCCCAGAUAUGGGAUUAUAAACUGCUUGUUAAGCAUAUUCUUUUGCACAUCUACAGAUGCCAAGCCGGGCCGCAGUUAACGCAGGCUCAGAAGUGGGACUGCCCAGGCCCAUCCUGGCCCAUCCGUCUCCUAACUGGGGAGACUGCAGGCCUUCUGUGCUGCUUCCUCUGAGAUGUGGAUGAUAAUCAUACCUGUCUCAUCUGACUAUAAUGAGUCCUAAGCAUAUAGUUUUAGAUUAUAUUGUUUUAUUUCUAAGUAUUUUGGUGGAUUAUAUUGUUUUAUUUUUGCCCUGUUUAUAUCAAUCAAAUUUGAAAACCAAAGGAUUGACAUUUUAUUUAUGGUUGUUUUAUAAUUCCGUCUUCCUGGGAAGGCAAGGGCAAACUGCGACGACUCUGAGAAUCAUGAGAUUCAUGUUAGAGCCGGGUGGCCGGCAGCAUCCCCUGGGGAAAGGCACAGGCUGUCUGUCUGCCCACUUUCCUCUGUCCCCCUCCCCUGUCCACUGCUCCUUUACACAGUGAAGUCCUGUGGUGCUGAAGAAGCAGCUGUCACCUUCUAUUUAACUUAACCGAGAGAUGCCUUGGGGUCUUGGAUGGGUUUCAGCACAUCAGUGAAGAUCGUAAGUAGUUUGAUUGCUUAAGCAGAGAUUCACACAAUCCACAGAAGAUCGAACAACCCAGCUUUAGGGGACAGACUUAUUUAGGAAGUAAACCAGAUUGUAAGAGCCUCCUGCCAUUCCUGGGGACAGCUUUCUGAAUCUGGGAUUUCUACCACCAGAUUGAAGGACAGGGACAAGUGUUUCCAGUCAGAGACAAAGUCUGCGAGUCAGCCCUGGAGACCCUGAAAACAUCAGUUCAAAGCGCCCGUGGUAUACGCCGCCGUGCUGGCAGGUCCGCGUUGUGGCACUGGAUCCUGUGCAGGCCCAUCCAAGGGGUGAAGCCACGAGGCAGAAGCCCUGAGGCUGACAGGUGGUUUAUCCUGUGACACACUUCCCUCCAUGGCACCCAAGGUGGAGCUCAGGAUACCGACCCAGGAACUGUCUCGCUCCCGUGCCUGCUGUCACCAGUUCAAAUCAAAUGUUAACCAGAUGGACGUAUUUCAGACGGAAUGCACUUGGUAACCGGCAAGCCAUUAUCUAAAUCACCAUCCCUGUGGUCUGUGUGUGUGCGCGUGUGAUAACUUACAAAGAUUCUGUAAGAGCAUAUGUGAAAAUGCACGUAUGUACCUUCACAUUCACACACUUACAUACACAAAGCCCUUAUACUGAUUUUUUGAAAAUGAUAUUUCGGUAUUUAAGAAUACAUAAAAAGCUUUCUUGUUGAUCACAUAAGAGAACUAAUGGUAGUUAGUUAAUAAAAUGUUGGCUGGCGCAGUGGUGCAUGUCUGUAAUCCUAUCAGCUGGGGAGGCUGAGGU